rnacentral:rRNA from 1 species
GAGUGAACGCUGGCGGUAGGCCUAACACAUGCAAGUCGAACGGCAGCACAGUAAGAGCUUGCUCUUACGGGUGGCGAGUGGCGGACGGGUGAGGAAUACAUCGGAAUCUACUUUUUCGUGGGGGAUAACGUAGGGAAACUUACGCUAAUACCGCAUACGACCUACGGGUGAAAGCAGGGGAUCUUCGGACCUUGCGCGAUUGAAUGAGCCGAUGUCGGAUUAGCUAGUUGGCGGGGUAAAGGCCCACCAAGGCGACGAUCCGUAGCUGGUCUGAGAGGAUGAUCAGCCACACUGGAACUGAGACACGGUCCAGACUCCUACGGGAGGCAGCAGUGGGGAAUAUUGGACAAUGGGCACAAGCCUGAUCCAGCCAUACCGCGUGGGUGAAGAAGGCCUUCGGGUUGUAAAGCCCUUUUGUUGGGAAAGAAAAGCAGCAGGUUAAUACCCCGCUGUUCUGACGGUACCCAAAGAAUAAGCACCGGCUAACUUCGUG